rnacentral:rRNA from 1 species
AGAGUUUGAUCCUGGCUCAGGAUGAACGCUAGCGACAGGCCUAACACAUGCAAGUCGAGGGGUAGCAGGAUGUAGUAAUACAUUGCUGACGACCGGCGCACGGGUGAGUAACACGUAUGCAACCUACCUUCUACAGGGGGAUAGCCCGGAGAAAUUCGGAUUAAUACCCCAUAACACAGGGAUACCGCAUGGUAAUAUUUGUUAAAGAUUAAUCGGUAGAAGAUGGGCAUGCGUUCCAUUAGCCAGUUGGUGAGGUAACGGCUCACCAAAGCAACGAUGGAUAGGGGAACUGAGAGGUUUAUCCCCCACACUGGAACCGAGACACGGUCCAGACUCCUACGGGAGGCAGCAGUGAGGAAUAUUGGUCAAUGGACGAGAGUCUGAACCAGCCAAGUCGCGUGAAGGAUGACUGCCCUACGGGUUGUAAACUUCUUUUGUAUGGGAGUAAAAAAGUCUACGUGUAGACUAUUGCAAGUACCAUACGAAUAAGCAUCGGCUAACUCCGUGCCAGCAGCCGCGGUAAU